rnacentral:rRNA from 1 species
UACGAAGGGUGCAAGCGUUAAUCGGAAUUACUGGGCGUAAAGCGCGCGUAGGUGGUUCGUUAAGUUAGGAGUGAAAGCCCCGGGCUCAACCUGGGAAUUGCUUCUAAAACUGGCGAGCUAGAGUAUGGUAGAGGGUGGUGGAAUUUCCUGUGUAGCGGUGAAAUGCGUAGAUAUAGGAAGGAACAUCAGUGGCGAAGGCGACAACCUGGACUGAUACUGACACUGAGGUGCGAAAGCGUGGGGAGCAAACAGGAUUAGAUACCCCGGUAGUCCCUGA